UACGGGGGGAGCAAGCGUUGUUCGGAUUUACUGGGCGUAAAGGGCGCGUAGGCGGCCAGCGCAAGUCAGUUGUGAAAUCUCCGGGCUUAACUCGGAACGGUCAACUGAUACUGCGCGGCUAGAGUGCAGAAGGGGCAACUGGAAUUCUCGGUGUAGCGGUGAAAUGCGUAGAUAUCGAGAGGAACACCUGCGGCGAAGGCGGGUUGCUGGGCUGACACUGACGCUGAUGCGCGAAAGCUAGGGGAGCAAACGGG
rnacentral:rRNA from 1 species